rnacentral:rRNA from 1 species
GUAACGGCGAGUGAAGAGGGAAGAGCCCAAGAUUGAAAGCUGGCGUCUUCGGCGUCCGCAUUGUAAUCUCAAGAAGUGUUUUCCGCUUCGGACCAAGCCUAAGUCCCUUGGAAAAGGGCAUCAUAGAGGGUGAUAAUCCCGUACAUGGCUUGGAGCGCCCGAAGCUUUGUGAUACGCUUUCUAAGAGUCGAGUUGUUUGGGAAUGCAGCUCAAAAUGGGUGGUAAAUGCCAUCUAAGGCUAAAUAUUGGGGAGAGACCGAUAGCGAACAAGUACAGUGAUGGAAAGAUGAAAAGAACUUUGAAAAGAGAGUUAAACAGUACGUGAAAUUGCCAAAAGGGAAGGGUAGGAGGUCAGAGAUGCGGCCUGGGAUUCAGCCUUGCUUUUGCUUGGUGUUUUUCCCAGAUUGCAGGCCAACGUCGGUUUUGGGCACUGGAGAAGGGUAGGAGGAACGUGGCACCUCUCGGGGUGUGUUAUAGCCUCCUACUGGAUACAGCGACCGAGACCGAGGACAGCAGCGUACUCGCAAGAGCGGGCCUUCGGGCACCUUUACGCUUAGGGCGUUGGCAUAAUGGCCCUCUAC